AAGGAUAUGGCUUGAUAGAAACUUUUGCUGGAGCUGCUUUUUCUGAGGCAGAUGACACAGCAGUGGGCCGUGUAGGGCCACCCCUUCCUUGUUGCUACAUUAAGUAGCAUUUGCAAGAGCCUUAGCUUCCCCAAAGAAGUCGGAAUGACACCUUCGAGAAGAUUAUUUUCCAUGGUUAAAGAUUAAUUUCACUUGAAGAUGGAGCUGCAAAAUCUGAAACAGAGGAAAGCCAGUCACAAACAGUUCCUCACGAUGCCGAGGCUAUUCCAGUUGCUAAGCCAGUGAGCAUAAGUGCAACUAUUUCCACUGUCUUGGCAAGUGCUGGGAAUACUUUGGAGGGGUCUGUGGCAGAACUUGUGUUGAGUCCUCUUCGACUUGCAUUUGAGACAAAGAACUUGAAAAUCUUAGAAUCUGCUUUGGAUUGUCUUCAUUAUGAAGUGAACAGCAAAGUGGCUGAUUCAAUGCUUGUUAAUACCAUAUUGAUGCUGGUGUAUGUUACUAAGUUUUUUUGGUGGGAAGCUGGAUACUGGAGCACAAUGGAUAUUGCACAUGAUCGAGCUGGUUUUUAUAUUUGCUGGGGAUGCCUUGUAUGGGUGCCUUCUAUAUAUACUUCUCCUGACAUGUACCUGGUCAAUCAUCCCGUACACCUUGGAACUCAG